rnacentral:ncRNA from 3 species
GCCGGGUGUGGUGGCUCACGCCUGUAAUUCCAACACUUUGGGAGGCUGAGGCGGGUGGAUCACCUGAGGUCAGGAGUUCAAGACCAGCCUGGUCAACAUGGUGAAACCCCGUCUCUA